AGUAGUAACAACACCACCCAGACCGCCGAAGACGGAACGAAUACGCUGAGUAACUUCAGUGUGUGUGCACUUACUUUCCAAAAACAGGUGGAGGGUUUUCAGCCCUGACUUCUGCUUGCACAUCGCAGUCAGCACAGAUGGGUGGUAAUAUUGCCUGCUACGCGGUGGAAAGGCUAUGGUUCGUUAGCAUCAUAUUAACACCUUAAGCAGCUAGAAACAAACACACUUGCAUUUAUUUACAUUGUGAUAGUCUCCAAAGGCUCCAUCCAGCAUUGUGGUUAAAGCAAACAACGAAUCAGCAAAGCAAGUCCAGAGUUCAAGCAGCAACAAUCAAUGCACUGAGCUCACACGCUGGCAAACUUUGGCUUGUGGGUACCUGCACAACAGUGAAGUGCUCACCGGACUGCAGCAGUACUAUGAGAAAUUUGCAAAUUCUUAUGAAAAGAAAACAGAGACAAGAUUGCAUCUGGUUUGUCUAUGGCGCCAUUCAUUGCUAUAGGGAGACAACUUGGAAAAGGUGAUGAGUGGAAGCCCAAGCAGAGGAUGAUUACAUCUUUCCCUGCACAAGUUGUUAAUUGCUUUCCCCUCCAAAAUGUUAGCAUUUUUCUCCUUUUCACUUCCAUGAGCACUGUGUAUGUAAAAAUACUUUUGGAAGAGGGGGGAAGCAACCCGCUGAAAUGUUAUCUUUUUCUUGAUUUGGGUCCUUAAGCAGAACUGAACAGCAUUUCAGACUUCAGUAAGAAGGAUGAUUUGUACCUUCAGCACAAGCCAAACACCAUCUAAUAUUGUAUUUUUUCCUGAAGGUGUAGGUGGAGAACGUAUAGGUUUGAAGGAAAAACUCCACCACUGAUACCCACUGAGCGGUGAGUUGAAGCAUGCAAACCACUAAGCACUUAUUGUAAAGAUAUAACUUUGUUAAAUGCAAAGAGCAUCCCGUCAAGAGCCUUUAAUAAAGAAAAAAAGGCCACAUAGACAUCAUCUGCAGUUUCCCAAUGAGCACAUCAAUUUACUUAAUUAAAUAUUGCUUUCAAAGUUUCAGUCACAAUAGCUCUUGUCCCUUGCCAGUUGCAGUAAGAAAGAUACAUUGAACAAGGAUGUCAGCUGAACACUAGCACUGACGUUAAUGCCAACUGUCCAAAGCUUUGCCAAGUAGCUGACGUUCAGGGUGAGGACUCCCUCGUUUUCAGCUCUUUUUAAGGCUUUGUUAAAGUACUGAAAUUCUAGGAGCCCAUUUUUGUGCAUUUUGCAGAGACACAGGAGACCUUGUAUUUUCAAACAGGACAAGAUUCAUCUACCAUGCUGAGGUUCUUUAAUGGAAAGCACUUGUGUCACAAAUUAUUUUUAUUUUCAUUGCUGUCUACCAGAUUUUGGUCCCCCAUUUUGUUUCAUUAGAUUUAAGCUCACUUUGCAAGUGCACUUAUAUUUUAAUUCAGAUUUAAAAAAAAAACAACUUCCCUCCACAAAAAUGCCAGUCAUUUUCUGAAAUUAAUCUCCCACAUCCAGAUCACUAUAGAGUGACACCUACAUUUUUUUCUUGGUUUCUCAUUUCUGCACAGGACAUGGAAACUCAGAUACAUUCCCCUAGGUAGAUUUCUGUGGUUUUGCCUACAUCCUCAAUUAACUCCAGCCUACUAAUUUUUAGAAGAAGAAAUAAUUGUUUUCUCCUUCAUCUAAAAACUAUGUUUCUAAGGGAAGAAUCCAAGAACAAAACCAGUUUUGAGCAAUAGUGUCAUUCUGCAGCUCCCUAGGCAUCAGGAUUGAAGGGUAGGAUCAAAGAACUGCGAGAAGAGUGAAGACAAACCUUCCCCACGCUGUCCAUCCAUCCCCUGCUUGCUUCUUUUUCACUUUCAGUCAUAGAGAUAUAAAAAGCAGCAGUAAGAUAUGUCCAGUGACACUGAAGACAACACGUUAUAUACACACCUAUGGAACCUGUUCAGCUACCAGCAGGCUUAAUAUCGACUUCAAUUCCUCUGAAACAGAAUCACAGACUCAUAGAAUCGUUAAGGUUGGAAAAGACCCUUAAGAUCAUUGAGUCCAACCGCUAACCUAUCACUGCCAAGUCCACCACUAAACCAUAUCCUCAAGCACCACGUCUACCCUUCUUUUAAAUACCUCCAGGGAUGGAGACUCAACCACCUCCCUGGGCAGCCUGUUCCAAUGCCUGACAACCCUUUUGGUGAAGAAGUUUAUCCUAAGAUCCAACCUAAACUUCCCCUGGCGCAGCUUGAGGCCAUUUCCUCUCGUCCUAUUGCUUGUUACUAGGGAGAAGAGCCCGACCCCCGCCUCGCUACAACCUCUUUUCAGAUAGUUGUAGAGAGCGAUAAGGUCUCCCCUCAGUCUCCUCUUCUCCAGACUAAACAACCCCAAUUCCCUCAGCCACUCUUCAUAAGACUUGUUCUCUAGACGCUUCACCAGCUUCGUUGCCCUUCUCUGGACACGCUCCAGCACCUCAAUGUCCUUCGUGUAGUGAGGGACCCAAAACUGCACACAGUACUCGAGGUGCGGCCUCACCAGUGCCGAGCACAGGGGCACGAUCACCUCCCUGCUCCUGCUGGCCACACUAUUCCUGAUACAAGCCAGGAUGCCGUUGGCCUUCUUGGCCACCUGAGCCCACGGCCGGGUCAUGUUUAGCCAGGUGUCAGCCAACACCCCCAGAUCCUUUUCCUCCAGGCAGCUCUCCAGCCACUCCUCCCCAAGCCCGUAGCGUUGCAUGGGGUUGUUGUGACCGAAGUGCAGGACCUGGCACUUAGCCUUGUUGAAUCUCAUACCCUUGGCUCUGGCCCAACAAUCCAGCCUGUCCAGGUCCCUCUGUAGGGCCUUCCUGCCCUCCAGCAGAUCAACACUUCCACCCAGCUUGGUGUCAUCUGCAAACCUACUGAGGAUGCACUCAAUCCCCUCAUCCAGACCAUCAGUGAAGAUACUGAACAGGACCAGCCCCAACGCUGAGCCCAGAAUUUGCAUUGAUGACACUUCUUGCAAGUGGGUGCUUCAGCCCAGACUCUUGGUGGGGCUGUCUUGGUCCUUGUGUACUUUUAAGGAAGGGUGCAUAAAUAACUGGUCACAGAUACUGCCUAAUCAUUCUGUUGUCAACUUGAUUCCAGAGGCAACUGCAUUUUAACUUUGACAUAGUCAGGCAGACAUACUCACAGGCAGCUAAGACUCACAUCUUCUCGAAAUUAAGUGAAUGAAAUUUUGACAUUUUCCCCCUGACAUUCUCAAAAUCCCCUCUUGCACUCACAUUCUGUCCAAAGUCAAAUGUAUAGGGAGCAUACACAGAGUGCAAAACCUUGCCCUUCUGAAGUUUCAUUCAAGGAAUCGUCCUUUCUUUUUUUUUUAAGGCACCUUUAGUUAAUCCUACUUUAAUGCUUAAUAUCAGACAAGUAAGUUUAUUAUUUGUUUGGGCAUAAACCAAACUAUUUUAUAUUGUGAGGUCUAAUCCAUAUUUGGAAAUUUAUUUUUUAGGACACAUCACUUGUAACUCACUGAACAAAGGUUUUCUUUAAAAAUUAGUGAUCUCCUAAAAAGCACAAUAGGUUAAGACUCAUUUCUUGUCAAUUACAUUUUAGUGUAACACAAAUACAGAUCGUGCCCAAUAAUAAUCCAGCAUUUUUAAAAAGGAGUUUAAAAAAGCCCCAAAUCUAGUUCUGAAUUCCUAUGACACACGCAUAGUUUUUAAAACAAUAUUUCCACUCAUCUGAAGCAGCAGCUUAUCCUCAUAGCCUUAUUAUGUGCCUUGGAGUUAGUCUUUUAAGCAGAGUAGGAGGCUUGGAUUCCAAAUGUUUGAUCUAAAUGCCAUCUCAGGACUGGAACAAAUGUCACUGUGGUACACAGCCAUGGGAGGGGAGGGGAAAAAAAUAAAUCUGAACUAUCACUCUUCAAAGCUACUGUCGUCAGAAGGAGCAGAGGGUGCUGAACACCUCGUAAGACCGAGUUCUGUAUUUUAAUUUAAUUACAACUGUAAUUUUACUCAGAAUACAAAAAAACAAUAACUGAAUGUCUUCUUCAUGAUUCCCUAGUGCAUAAGUUGCACGUUGCAUGUUCUCUCCAUUGCUUUGUCCAGGCCUCCAAAGCCUUAGAGAGACUGUUGCACCAUUUCUUGAGGCAUUUGUCCCAAAGUUUCAAUGGCAAACCAAAUAAGAGGCAGAGAAUAAAAGGGACUAUAACAGCGGAGGGUGAUUCUCUCUGUUGCAUAACAUCACAGCUUGAAAUUAUAAUGAAAUUAGUUGUACAGAAAAAGGCCAAUGUCUAAGUCAUAUUACAUGUAAAAAUGUUUCAUAUUCUUAAAGAACUCCCCAUAUCCCAGUGGAUUCAUGAGCCAGUUUUAAGUGAGUUCCAGCAUGAAAUUUUGCCCACAGAACCAAAGAGGCUGGAUGAACAAACAUGAGAAUGAAGCACGAAGUGAACUUAGAGGUGUGAGCUUGGUGCCUUCAGCAUUAUGAGUAUCACCUGGACGCAUCAGAUGCCUCAUGCCACAGCAGAAGCCAGAAUUUUGCUUCUCUUCUUCCAAAGCAUAAAGGGCUGAAUCAACCAUUACUAUAGGUCCUGCAAUCCUAAAGAGCCUGUAGUUUUUCAAACCUAAAACUGAGAGGCUUUCAAGUAGCAGCAGUGUCUUCACACACGCUUAAAAAGAAAAAAAAACAAAAAACACCAACCCAACCACGCAGCUCUUUCAAUAUAAGCUGCUCUUGAGAGCUCUACAUUGUGCUAUGCUUUUUCAUUCACCCUUCUUGUUUUGAUCGAGCAAGGAUGACUAAUGUGCUAUUGUGAUGCACUUUUCUCAGAAAUGUGGCCAACUGAGGCUGCUUCCACCGUAGUUCCACGGGUGUUUAACAUUUAAAAAGAGCACUCAGCCGGGCAAUGGGUAAGUCAUUACAUUCCGCUUUAAAACAACAGGCCCCAUACAUAAACCAUGCUCUCAUGCAAAUCUGACCUACAUAAUGUUGAAAUCUUCCAAUGUCAGGAAGAUUUCACAAGUAAUCCCAUGUGUCCCAUAGCUGUAAAACUGGUGUUACUUCAGCACCACAGGAAGCACCGCAUGUGCCUCAAACAGCUUAUCGUGGCAUGCUUCAACCCCCUUGCUGCCCUUCCAGUGUCUUCCAGUUUGGCCAGGAAGUUUAGAUGGGACAAAUGUCUUCAGGACCAUUCAUCCUAUGCCAAGAAAUGCUCUUCCAGCCCAGUAUAUACACAGUUUAACCACCUGGUAAGGACUGUAACAACUCUUUAUGGCUUAAAAAAUAAUUUUAAAAAAUUAAAAAAGGGAAUACUCUAGACUGAAUAUAUGAGAUCACUGUGAAAACACUGACUUCAGCUGGACCAGGGUUUUAGUCCUUAUCCCUACAGAACUGCUGAAUAUUCAUUUAGGCCCUAAGGUACAAAGACCAAACAGCGCCCCAGAACACAAGCGAUAAGGAAGAUAUUAUUUUGCUAUGAGAAUACUUCGAAUCGUCCCUUGAAAACCAAACUCUCGAGCAUAAUUAUAUCACAUUACUGGCCUCCUACACUAUGGCCAGAGUAUUUUAGACAGACUCUGCUCCAACAACUUUUACUGCAUUUAAAUGCUCCAAUUUGAACAAGGCCUUGACUUCUUUAGACCGAAACCUGUCAACUCUUUGCUUUGACAGAAAAUUAUAACACGUUUCAACUUUUUAAACCAUUUUUCAGCCCAGAAUAAUGACUUUUCUGGAACACAAGGACAUGAAAAUGUACAUUUUUAAGAUGGGCAUCUGUCCCCAAAUCCAUCUAGUCUUUUCAACUGACCAUGUAGGUUAGUAAAGUUUGUUGUAGCACAAGCCAUUAGAUCUCAUUUCACAUUUCAAGACUUCUUUUUCACUCUUUCUGCCAAAUGAACACUUGUCUUUCCACUGCUUUUGCAGAAGGCCUGCAGUUUCAAACUCAGGUUUAAAACUGAGCAUUUCUACACAGAAAAGGACUCCUUACUUUUGACGUUCACAUAGGCCUAUGGUUAUCUGCAUGAAAAGGUUAUUAAAAGAGCAUUUUUUUAAUAGCAAUACUAGAUAUUCUUAAAUACAUUGCUCAGCCACAGUAAAUACAAUCAUUUUAUUCAUCUCUUCCUGGAAAGCUUACACUUAUUAAUGCCUCAUUAACCAAAAGAUCCUUCAUCAUAUUUAUCAUCAUUCACUGUCUUUAUUACAUAUAAAAAAGAACAUUUUCUUACCCUAAUCAAAAGGAUGAUAUGCUCCUCAGAAUCAUGUUAUGAAACGAUACAUGCAUCCACCUUAUAAGGAUGCCUUAUAAAUCUCCUUCCUUAUAAGAAGCAGGAAUAAAAAUGUUAAAUUAGACUAAGUUGAUUAAUCUCUUGGGCCCAAAUCAUCCAUAUCUGAUACUUGCAAAUAUUCUACUAUGUCACAAAAUGCAUGUUUUAAAAGCUGACAGUCUUCAAAACAGUUGGCAACUAGAUGUGUUGCUCAGAAAAUUAAUAUUGCUUUUUGAAGUAUUUUUUAAACAACAAAACCAAAAGCUUGAACCUAAUUCCAAACACAAAAUUAAAUUCUUUCCUCUAUACUAGGAAUUUCCAUAUGAUAUUUCACACUUGCCCUAAAACAACACUUUUUCUGACCCCAGUGAAAAUUCCUUGCAUUGGAAGGAAGAUUGUGAAUAACAAAAUCCCCAAGACAUAUCAGUGGAGAAAAUUUUAGCAGCAGGAAAAGCUUCAUUACAGCUAUCCAGGCUUGAAAAGAACAAAUUUAUAGUAAGAUCCUCCUUAAUAGUUUGCAACCAUGUAAUGCAUUUCUCUUACACAUGUUUUAUGCUAAUCCUUCUCUGCAAAUAAAUAUAUCCAUAAA